rnacentral:rRNA from 1 species
AGCUCCAAUAGCAUAUAUUAAAGUUGUUGCAGUUAAAAAGCUCGUAGUUGGAUUUCUGGCAUGAUGCGCCUUGCCCGCCUCGAUUACGAGUGUGUGUGCGAGUGGGCGUCUGCCAUCCAUUUACAGAAUGUGCCUACCUUUGAUUAGGCCGGGUACGUGAUGUAAAUCUUUUACUUUGAAAAAAUUAGAGUGUUUAAAGCAGGCAUUUGCUAUGAAUACAUUAGCAUGGAAUAAUAAUCUAGGACUUCGGUUCUAUUUUGUUGGUUUCUAGAUCUGGAGUAAUGAUUGAUAGGGAUAGUUGGGGGUGCUAGUAUUAAGGGGCCAGAGGUGAAAUUCUUGGAUUCUCUUAAGACUAACUUAUGCGAAAGCAUUCACCAAGGAUGUCUUCU